rnacentral:lncRNA from 1 species
AAAGGAAGGACAAAACAUGGAUGAGAAGCUACAAACCAAAAGAAAUAGAGGAGCAAUGAGGAUUAAGUGAAAAGACGGUCAAAUCACACCCAAAACCCUCUAAUUCAAUCCUCUUCUUGACUCCAUUAUUCACAAUUUUUUUAUUUUUUUAUUUUUUUAUUUUUUUUGUAUUUUUUUCUUCUUCUUUUUUUUCCAUCUUGUCUCUUUCCUUUUUCUCUCCUUUCAGAACACAACUCUAAGAGACAAGAUACACAACAUAUUUACAAAACAAAACAAGAAGUGGAGCCAACUAACCAAUUCAUCAGAAUCCCCAAG